rnacentral:rRNA from 1 species
AGUAACGCGUGAGUAACCUGCCUUACACAAGGGGAUAGCCUUUGGAAACGAAGAAUAAUACCCUAUAAAACCAUAAAAGCAUAUGCUAGAAUGGUCAAAGUGAUAGCGGUGUAAGAUGGACUUGCGUCUGAUUAGCUAGUUGGUGAGAUAAAAGCUCACCAAGGCAACGAUCAGUAGCCGGCUUGAGAGAGUGUACGGCCACAUUGGGACUGAGACACGGCCCAG